GGAGGCGUGGCGGAAUUGGUAGACGCUAACGACGGAGUGAGAAAGGCUAUAUUAUACUGUAAGAACACCCCUUUCAUACAGGUUCGAAUCCUGUCGCCUCCA
rnacentral:tRNA from 1 species